GCUCUGAAGCUCUGCUGUUCCACAGCUUCCCUAACCAUGAGUAUUCAACCACAACCCAGAAGACUUCCUUUCUUGGACAGACCCAGGCUAUAUCCAGCUGUCUGUUUGCAAGUCAGGAGAAAGCUUGUUCAUGUGAACCCUGAAUGCUCAAAACACAGCACAAGCAAAACAGUUUUGGAAAUACAGACCACCAACUUACAGACUGUUUCUCUCAGUUGUGGGGUUCUGCCUGACAAAUGUGGAAUAUCUGGUGUUGAAGGAUCAGCCAGUAUCACUUAGCCUAAGUACAAUUCAUCCCUGGGUUAGGCUUUCCAAGCUUGCCAUCACACAGGCAUUUUCCCUAAACAAACAGCUUAAGCGUCAUACAAACACGAGUCAUUUCUUGGAGCUGAGCAUUGCGAUUGAAAGUUUAAUAUUACCACAUACACGAUCCUUAAUUCACUUUCAGUUACUGUUUGCUGAAUAUGCAGUACAAAACCUCAUCUACGCACCUUUUUUAUAGGGGAUCAGAGCAUGAACUUACCUAUUUCUCAGUGGCUCAGCUCAGCAAGCAAGUGCUUUUCAAUAUUUGAAAUGUCUGCGUGUUUUAGCAUCUCUGUUAGCACUUAUAACUUUUUUUUUUUUUUUUAAUAGAGAGAUUGGACCACAUUUUUAGGAAAGCUCUAUUACAGAUUUUCGACUGCUCAGAAGCCACACGUAGAGUAAGGCCUCUAGAAAGAUCCUGCCUGCAUGUAGGACCUCAGGUGAACACCUGGGAGAUGAUCCAGACAUUUUUGAAGUAGAUGGAGAUAGGAAUUAAUUCCUAGGGUGCUUUUUUUCCUCUCAUUGUAGUUCAGAUUCCUAAAGAUACUGUUUCCCAGCAGGCUGAGCCCUUUCGGAAAAUGCUGCAACUCUCCAGUACCUCCAGGUUGAUCAUGGUGCAUGUCACUAGCAGCACUACAGGGAGCCAACGCUGAGGCCAUCCAUGCUAGGUCCCACAUGUCUCCAGACAAACAACUGCAGGCACAAAUGCUGGGUAUCAGGGCUAUGGUGGGAGACAGCAGCCGUGUGUGAGGAGCUCACGAGACUGGGCACAUAACGGGGGUCACGGCCACUCCAGCAUUUCUGAGAUAUGGUAAAAAGACUUUUGUUAAUUCCUGAUCACCCAUGGAGUUAACCCCGUGUAUAUGCAAGUUGGGAACUGGUUAACCUAGGGAAAAAAUGACACUGACUUAUUAUUAUUAUUUAUAUUAUAUUUAUUAUAAUAAUUAUUAUUGUUAUUAGUUCUCUCCUUUUUCUG
rnacentral:lncRNA from 1 species